rnacentral:tRNA from 1 species
GGGAGAGUUGAGCAAUUGGUUGGCUCAGCAGACUGUAAAUCUGUCGCGAAAGCCUUGGGGGUUCGAGUCCCUUCUCUCCCACAA